GCUCCUUCUCCCAUACCCAUUGCAUAUCGGAGUUGUGAAUUCUCAAAACACCUCCUGUGUGCAUGGAUUACAGGAGGGUGAGC
rnacentral:pre_miRNA from 1 species